rnacentral:rRNA from 1 species
CCUGGCGGCCAAAGCGCGCGGGUACCACCUGAUCCCAUCCCGAACUCAGAAGUGAAACCGCGUAGCGCCGAUGGUAGUGUGGGGUUUCCCCAUGUGAGAGUAGGUCACUGCCAGGC